rnacentral:rRNA from 1 species
UGGGGAAUAUUGCACAAUGGGCGAAAGCCUGAUGCAGCAACGCCGCGUGAGUGAUGAAGGUCUUCGGAUUGUAAAGCUCUGUCUUUUGGGACGAUAAUGACGGUACCAAAGGAGGAAGCCACGGCUAACUACGUGCCAGCAGCCGCGGUAAUACGUAGGUGGCGAGCGUUGUCCGGAUUUACUGGGCGUAAAGGGUGCGUAGGCGGAUGUUUAAGUGAGAUGUGAAAUACCCGGGCUUAACUUGGGUGCUGCAUUUCAAACUGGAUAUCUAGAGUGCAGGAGAGGAGAAUGGAAUUCCUAGUGUAGCGGUGAAAUGCGUAGAGAUUAGGAAGAACACCAGUGGCGAAGGCGAUUCUCUGGACUGUAACUGACGCUGAGGCACGAAAGCGUGGGUAGCAAACAGGAUUAGAUACCCUGGUAGUCCACGCCGUAAACGAUGAGUACUAGGUGUAGGAGGUAUCGACCCCUUCUGUGCCGCAGUAAAAC